CGUCUAGGCGGCAGCCUAAGUCCCGUGUGAAAGCUCCCGGCUCAACUGGGAGAGGGCAUGGGAAACUGGGCGGCUCGAGACUCGGAGGGGGGUGUGGAAUUCCCGGUGGAGUGGUGAAAUGCGUUGAGAUCGGGAGGAACACCAGUAGCGAAGGCGGCACCCUGGCCGAGGUCUGACGCUGAAGCGCGAGAGCGUGGGGAGCGAACG
rnacentral:rRNA from 1 species